UGUUGCUUUUCCACGGCCCCCCACUAAAAAACAUUCACGAAAUUCAGAUACGAAGUUGCAUCUCUUCCCAAAAGAGAGCGCAGAGAAGAUUACGUUGGAUACAAUAAUUUUAUCCACAAAUAAAGCCAUUUCUUUCUUAUGCUUUUGACCAGUAAUCUCAGUUCCUUCAAUUUUUUUAAUCGAUGUUUAGACGAUAUUUUUUUAUUUAAUUUUAUACGGUUUUCAGUUUGUUCUCAUGGCUAAAAGACGCUGUAUUUUGAAAUCCCCGAUGACUGACGGCGCAGAAACUUUUGGAAUGCAGGUAACAAGCGCCAAAAGGGAGGAAGCAAUUAGUAUGAGACUGAAAUGAUGAUGUUGAAAAUUUGCAGCAAUGACAAAGGGACAUAAAAUGACUAUAUUUCAAAAUUCUUCGGAAAAUUUUGCAAGCCUGACUGCAACAAUUUGAAAGAUGUUUCCUAAUUUUAAUGGAAUAUGCUCUGAUUGAAACUCUUGGAGAUGGCUCAAACCAAAUAUUCGGAGUUUUAUUGACUACGUGUCUAAUGUCACCGAGUACAAUUGUAAUAUUGUAGUGGAAGCGUGAUAUUUUUAUGAUCCAUUAUUUUGGACUGGUGGAAUGUCUUUUAAUAUUGAUGCAUUUCGUGACAUGUUGUGCAAACGUGUAUGCUCAUGUAUUUUCAGAUGAGUAUUGUAUCCAAUAUGUUUACUGAUGCAAUUUUAUUGGUAUUAAAUGUGCA